GUGCUCACUUUGGCAGCACAUACACUAAAACUGGACAAUAAAGAGAAGAUUAGCAUGGCCCCUGAGCAAGGAUGACACGCACAUCUGUGAAACAUUCCAUAUUUUU